GCCUCGGCCUCGGCCUGGAAGCGAUGUAGCCGCACCAGGCCCGAGCCCCGCGGGCCGCCGCUGCCGCUGCCCUUGAACCACAUGAAGCAGCUCGCCAAGCAGACCGUGGGCAGAGCUGAGAAAACAGAAGUCCUCAGUGAAGAUCUGUUACAGAAUUGUUCGCCGUGAAACUAACUCUCGCCAAUCCGCACCUGCUCGCUUCAGCUUGAGGCAGUCUGCUGUACGCUUCCAUCACGUCGACGGCUGACGCAGUUUCCCACCCAUUCGACAGGAGCCGUUCUUUCUAGAAUGUGCAGCGGAGAGAAAAGGCAAGGUACGAGGCACUGUUGCACAACUCCAAGGCACUCUUGGAGCACAUGAGAACUUGUCUCAGAUGACUCCUUUUUCAAAAGCCCGU